rnacentral:rRNA from 1 species
GAUGAACGCUGGCGGCGUGCCUAAUACAUGCAAGUCGAGCGAACAGACGAGGAGCUUGCUCCUCUGACGUUAGCGGCGGACGGGUGAGUAACACGUGGAUAAUCUACCUAUAAGACUGGGAUAACUUCGGGAAACCGGAGCUUAUACCGGAUAAUAUAUUGAACCGCAUGGUUCAAUAGUGAAAGACGGUUUUGCUGUCACUUAUCGAUGGAUCUGCGCUGCAUUAGCUAGUUGGUAAGGUAACGGUUUACCAAGGCAACGAUGCGUAGCCGAGCUGAGAGGGUGAUCGGCCACACUGGGACUGAGACACGGUCCAGAGUCCUACGGGAGGCAGCAGUAGGGAAUCUUCCGCAAGGGGCGAAAACUUGACGGAGCAACGCCGCGGGAGUGAUGAAGGUCUUCGGAUCGUAAAACUCUGUUAUUGGGGAAGAACAAAUGUGUAAGUAACUAUGCACGUCAGGACGGUACCUAAUCAGAAAACCACGGCUAACUACGUG